GUUCUUUGUCACAGAAGUCAGAGCCUGCAUUGCCAGCACUGCUUUUCUCUCACAGACCUCAACUGUUUAGCUCCAUUGGCAGUGAACGCCAGGAUAUUUGGGUGGUUUCUGAGCAUUAACAACUGCAUCAUCACAAAGCUCUUCUCAGGACGCAGAAACACUAUACUCGCCUUCACACCAAGGCAACGAUAGAUACAAUACAGGUGUUGUACUGAUUUAACUACGGUUGUAUAAAAUACUGGUAGUACAACUCUCUAAUGUAAACAAGCCCGAAGUGAUUACAGGAGGCAAGGCAACAGGAAGAACUGCCCCAGAAGCUUUAUUCUGAGAGCUCCUGCGUUCCUGAAGGCCGUGGUGAAAGCACGACACGGGAAGCAAAUGGUUUGCUUUCGUCGCUCUGGCCCCCAGCGCUUUGCAGGCUGAAGGCUCCCCUACCACGGAGCUGAGGAGAGGCUCCAUUUUCAGUCCUUCCCGAGGGAACGGAGCCAGGCAGCAGCUGCUCGGCCGAUAGGAAACUCUCCGACCGGCAUCCCGUGCUCAGGGGAGAUCAAGACCAUCCCACCACCGAACAUGAGGACGGCUGGAUGUGAACAAGGACUGAUGGAAGAUGUCAGGAGCCCCCAUGUUAGGCAUACUUGUGCAGCCACGUGCGUUCCUGGCCCCAGCUAAAACAUUCCUGGGUGCCAGCGAGCCCUUUGCUGCGUAUGGAGCCUUCUAGGGUUGAGCAGAAAGCCCAGGUUUAGGGCAGAGAGAGUAAAAAUCAGUGGUGCUGGCAGGGCUCUCAUUUGCCAAGCAAGGCUAGCCCCGGUCCUGGUUUUUUAUGCUGCCUGGACACCAGCCAAAGCCCACAGAAAUUAGUAGAAAAACCAACUGGAUCAGGUCCAUAGAGCCUGAGGACUCGCUUCCAUACUUACUCCUUUGAUCCAACAAGAGUAUAUAUUUACCGAGUGGGGCCUCUCUAGCCCUCUUCGUUGGCCAAAUGCAGAAGUGGUAGCAACAGGUUUUUCAUGCGAUUUAAUCAUUUUCUCUCUCACUGCAUUGGGCAGAAACCUCUUUGUGUUUGUUUCUACAUGAUUUCAGUGCUUUUAUUUUUUUUUUUUUUUUUUUUAGGGCAUCUUCUUUGUGGUAGUUCAGAGAGUCAGGGCCUGAGAUUGUUUGAUACCUGCAGGGAUUGAAAGUAUUUUCAGUGCAUUGGUCAUAGCGAGGUUUAUUUGCAGAAGUUCUUCCAAACUUUUCUGAAGGGUCAUUUAUCUGAAACAGGGAGGAAUUUAACCCCAAAGGAUGCUGAGCCCCAUGGUGUUAAGAGAAGGAGCUGCCAGUGGCGCCCACAGAUCUUCCCCAAUUUGCAAUCUUCUCCAGCACUUACCCUGCAGUCAAAACCAAGGUCAGCAUUCAGGGGGUUGCUCCAUUUGCAGUCAAGUCAUAAAAGUGGGCAUGACCUUCCCAAAGAUCUUUUCAAGCACGUCAUCUAAGACUCAAGGAAGCAUUAACUUGCACUAUUGCCAUUCCAGACAUUAAUCAGAGCAUAUAUUGCAGACAGUCUCCUGAGCAGUGUGCUUAUGUGAGUCCUAUUUGUUUUAUGGCUGUUCUGCUGAUUUCUCCCUGAUAAUGAGACCCUGUGUGCGCACUGGAGUAUUUGUGAGUAUAUAUUGUAGCAGCUAGGGCCUUACAUCUCCAUUGUCAAAUCAUCCUACCAAAUGGAUAGGCUCACAGCGCUAAGCUGCAUGUAUAAAUUACAUAUUAACUUGUUGUAUUUGCUCUAACACGGCUAUCAAUAAGGAUACACCAAUCUAGCGACAUGCAUUUAGAGCGCAAAGGACUCUGCAGAGGUACUGCUGGUGCAAGUCACAUUCAACUCCGCAGCAAGAGCUUGCAACAUCCCGGUCUGAGCCAGCCAGGCAUUUGAUAUCACACCUGUACUUCAGCUCCCUUGUCAGCAGCUGGGAGACAGCCUCCUCUCAGUUAUUCAUCUUCCAUAGGUUGCCUCAGCUUGCCUAACCCUGAGCUUCUGGUGGUUUUUGUUACAAUCUAUCUGCCACGUUCUGGAUUUCUAGAAAUGGUAAAUGAAGGUACUUUUUUAGCCUUUAAAAAAACAUUGUUUUUUUCCGUAAAGGGAGCGUACUUCUUGGUUUGCAGUGGUGAAGGAAAUUUGCAUGGCAUUGAUAAGGUGCGCUCUCCUCUUUGAGAAGGUUUUUUUCCUCUUUCACUCCUGCUAAUCACCCUGGCAGCCAUAUUUUAAUGUUGCUUGGAUUUGCUUUGGCAUAUUCAGAAUAUAAUACACUUUUACUUUAACAAAAUCUUAGGCAAUUAAGCAAGUUAUUUCCUCUUUAAUAUUUGCUUAAUUUAUUUAUCUAUCUAUCCAUCUCCAGAAAGGAAAUCUCAGAGCCUAUGUUAUAAAUUAACAGGUGUAUAGAAGUUUGUCGCAGGCUAUAUAGUGAAUGACAAUGAAAGGCCAUAAAUAAUAGUGAACAGUAAGAGACAAAAUUGAUGUCUGCUUUGGGACUAGGCAUAAGAUUUAUCAGGCCCAGACAAAGGUCUUUAAAUCAGAAGCUGAUGCAUUCUCAGAUAAUCUGAGCAGCACUGGCAGGGCCCAGUGUAGACUUACUAAUUUUCUAUUAAAGGAGAGGUUCUUAAUUGGCGUUGCUCUAUUUGUAAGCAAAUAAUACACCAUGUUAACAAUGCACUUUAUUUUAGUAACUCCCAGAAGAAAACAGAGCUAAAUACUGCAGAAGUGUUUUGCUAGAUUAGGACUGGGAAAUCUCACAAUGGAAAUCCUUGCUAAGCAAAAAUAUAACCUAGAAUAAAGGGCUUAGUACUAGGGACGUUCUGGUGCCAGUUUAGCAGCAGUUCCUCAGAAAAUGUUUUGUCCCGGGAUAAAUAAAUUUUACUUCAAGCUAUUAACCUGAGCUUUGUAAGGCAGAGAGUUGGUGUACGUUUUUCACUGUCUGUAAAAGGUCUCUUAAGCAGGAUCCUCUCUUGGGACUUGUGGGGUUGGGCAAAUGUAUUCUUAGAACAAGUGUUGUGAUCCUCAUUAGAUAAAUCUGUAAUCGCAAGGCAUAAAAGACUCUGUCAUGUGUGGCAUAUAAUCUCAGUUGUUGUUUGAUUUUUGCUUUUCCACGGGGUUUUCAAAUCAACCCAGCCUGAGCAAAUAUAAACAAGCAUAAGCAUCCCAGAUGCAGUUAAAAAAAUAAAAUCACAAACAUCUCCCUUUUCUCCGUUCUCCAUACUAAAACCUUCAUGUGCUACACAGGUCACACCAUCAUUGCUACAAUCUCUUUGCUGUUGACCUUAGUGAUGCUCCCUUCUGCCCUCUCAAACCCAUCCAGAUAGCUACAGCAAUCACCUCUACUAUUUCUUUAUCCUUUUAUCACAUAGCAAAUCAAAACUGAACUCCUUGUUCCCACCUUCAAGACCUUCUGCAAUCUGGAGCACUCACAGUGGUGUCUUCUAGCCCCUUUCCCUACCCUCCCUGGGCGUUUUCUUCUUCCCUCACCCCUGCAUCCUUUUUGUGCUGUCCUUUGGGACUAGAACUGCUUUCCUGCCACAAUUCUUCUGUUAAAAGCACUAUUGCUGUCUCCAGAUACAUAAACUAACAAUAUUUAAACAUAUUGGAUCCCUUUAACAUGGGUACCUGUCCUCUUCACCAUGCCUCAACCUUUCUGUGAUGUCAUUCUCCUCAGUCUAGUUGGAGGAGCUGGGAUGAGGAUUUUUAGAGAGGCGGCACUGGAUGGGAAGGAUUUUGGGGUGAGCCUGGGAGCUCUGUGCAGAGAAAAGCUGGGCUCGGUGUGCUCCCAUCCUCUGCUUGAGUCCUUUGGGAGCCUGGGUGCCAAACCCAUGCCUCUGCGAGCAGUCCAGCCCCCAGGAAUGGAGAGAGGAAUGGGAAGCUGGGGAUGGGGAGAGCAAGACAGACCAUUUUUUCUAGUCAAAAAGAGC